rnacentral:rRNA from 1 species
AGAUCGAACGCUGGCGGAAUGCUUUACACAUGCAAGUCGAACGGCAGCACGGGGGUAACCCUGGUGGCGAGUGGCGAACGGGUGAGUAAUACAUCGGAACGUGCCCAGUCGUGGGGGAUAACGUAGCGAAAGCUACGCUAAUACCGCAUACGAACUCUGGUUGAAAGCGGGGGACUCGCAAGAGCCUCGCGCGAUUGGAGCGGCCGAUGGCAGAUUAGGUAGUUGGUGGGGUAAAGGCUCACCAAGCCUGCGAUCUGUAGCUGGUCUGAGAGGACGACCAGCCACACUGGGACUGAGACACGGCCCAGACUCCUACGGGAGCAGCAGUGGGGAAUUUUGGGACAAGUGGGCGCAAGCCUGAUCCAGCCAUUCCGCGUGCGAGGAUGAAGGCCCGUCGGGUUAGUAAACUGUCUUUUAGGAACGGUAACGAAAAGCCGCUCUACUAAUACGAGGCGUCAGUGACGGUACCGU